CUAUUUCUAGUGGCGGACGGGUGAGUAACGCGUGGGUAACCUGCCUUAUACAGGGGGAUAACAGUUGGAAACGGCUGCUAAUACCGCAUAAGCGCACAGUACCGCAUGGUACGGUGUGAAAAACUCCGGUGGUAUGAGAUGGACCCGCGUCUGAUUAGGUAGUUGGUGGGGUAACGGCCUACCAAGCCGACGAUCAGUAGCCGACCUGAGAGGGUGACCGGCCACAUUGGGACUGAGACACGGCCCAA
rnacentral:rRNA from 1 species